CCCCCCCAGCACAUAGUGAUGUGUCAUGGCAGCAGGCUGGUGCCUCAGUUCCUGGCCACGUACCGGGUGACUGGAGAGUGAGGACACCUACCUCAUUGUUAUGAGAAACAUGUUCAGCUGCAGACUUGACGUCCACAGAAAGUACAACCUCAAGGGGUCCCUGGUGUCCCGUGAAGCGAGUUUCAAAGAGAAGAUUAGAGUUGCCAACGUGCAAAGAUGUUGACUUCAGGAAUAACAUGCAGAAGGUUUAUAUGAGUGAGGAGAAGGAGAGGAUCAUGGACAAGCUCAACAGAGACGUGGAGUCUGGAGCAGAAAUCUCCACCGUUCACCCUGAGCAGUACGCCAAGAGGUUCCAUGAGUUCAUUGCUGAGAUCUUUGCGUAGCUCAUCAGAACACAGCUACAGAACCAUAGCUGGCUCAAUAUGAAAACACUCCUUAUUUACUACCUUGUUACAAUUCCUUAACUGACAAGUACUUUCGUAUAGAGAUAAAAUAUACUGUUUAUAAAAGAGCUAUUUAUUUAAUUGUAUCCAUCAAUAAAUUUAAAGACUCUUAGUACUAACUUUGUCA
rnacentral:lncRNA from 13 species